rnacentral:misc_RNA from 1 species
UUUUUAAUUAAAAACUAGAAUGAAAGGUUAUACAUUCAAAUUUCUUUAUUAAUUUCUAAUUAAUAAUUUAUAUUAAAUAUAAAAAUAUACUUAUAAAAAAAAAAGACGACAAGACCCUAUUAAAUUUUACUUAUAGUUUAACUGGGGAAGUUUUUUAAUUAAAAUUUUUUAAAUUUAAUAAAUAAAAAUCUAAUAAAAUUAAAACUUUAACAAAUUACUAUAGGGAUAACAGCAUUAUAUUUUUUAAAAGUUCAUAUUAAAAAAAAUGAUUAUGACCUCGAUGUUGAAUUAUAUUUUCUAUAUUUAAUGCAAUAAUUAUAAAAGUAGAUCUGUUCGAUCUUUAAAAUAUUACAUGAUUUGAGUUCAAACCGGUGUAAACCAGGUUGGUUUCUAUCUUUUUAUAUAUUUUUCCAGUACGAAAGGACAAACAAAUUUUUAUUUUAAUAAAUUAGCAAAUAAAUGCAUUAGAUUUAGAAUCUAAAUAUAUUUAAUAAUU